GGGCAAACACGGACCCCUGGACACACCAGAGGUGGGAUCAUGUGACUAGGAGGAGUAAGCAUCCCCUGUUGACCGGUCACACCCGCCGUGAGCCCCAUAUCCUGAUCAGAGACGUCACCAACACCGGCAAAGGACUUCGAAUUUAGGCCUAUGUUCGGCGCUUACAGCCAUUGAGCAGUGAGGGUUUUUAGCAUGCCACACCUACCGUAACACGGGACAUCCAUUUCAAAUGUCAUCUCCGAGGAGACAUGGUAUUCACUCUUGAUUCCGAGGGUUUGACGAUGGAACUGUCACUACCUGCUUUAACGACUUAGGUCUGUCGCAACCAGGAUUUAAACCCUGACCGUCCCCAUGCGGAGCUGAAUGAUCAUUAUAUAUGAAUAUUUCCUUUUUCGUAAACGUUUGACAUUUUAGAAUAUAUUGUUGAUGUUUGUACGAUAUACCUACGGAUUUUUUAUGGUUUUGUUUUUGAUUUUUGUAGUAAUUUGCCUCGUUUUCUUUUUAGCUCUUACAAAUUUAUUAUUAUUUCGAAUUUCAAACAUUUCGGCUUGAGCAUCACUGAAGAGACAGUAUUUGUCUAAAUGCGCAUCUGGUGCAUCAACAUUGGAACCGUAUAAGUUUUACAUCAAACACAUACACAGAAAAGUUGAAAUAUCUAUAAAGAGCUUAGUCCUGUAGAUCUUAGCUAUAUCAGACAAGGUAACGUAACUUUACAAUCAAUACGGUUUUAUCUUCAGCAAAACGUGAAGAGUUGUUGUUCUUUGAGCUACUGAGAUAAUCCAUGUUUACAUUGAUUUACCUCGAGUAAACUAGUUGUGCUUUUUGUGAAGGAUAAGCAUUGAAUACAUUACCGGAUAUAUUGUAGGAUAAGAAACCCAGAAAAGUGAGACUGUAUUAUCAUAUCCUUAAUCCAGCCCUUAUCUAAUCUACAUUUCUUUUAAUUAUUAAAGUAAUACCAAAAUACAUAACAUUUCUCCAUAGUAAUAGAGUGUUUGUAAAUUCAAACCGUUUCCUUGUUUCACAGUUUUCAUGUUUAUCGUGUAUAUAAAACACAAAUAUGUAUAUCGAUGUAUAUGUAAAAAAAAAAGCAAUUCAUUUCCUAGAUAUUAGCAUAAAUAUUAAAUAAAAUCAAUUCAAACAUA